GUCGAAUUCUCUAUUGUUCGUGACAGAAAUAGACAGUCUGAUGGAUUUGCACGUCCAGUGUCACUAUUGUGAACGAAAUGUACAGAAAAACAUAUGUACGGCCGCUGUGAGUUCUUGGGCACUCGGAUUGCACCGGAAAAGAUAGUUGCCCGCAACGAGAUAAUCGCAGAAUUCAGCAUCCCGCCUAAACGAUUUUUCAAUUUACUUACAUUAGCAGCAUGACGAUGAUGAUUGAUGGAUGCGUGGAUUUUCAAAUAAUUAUAAUAGCAAUAAAACAAUACAUUAAAUUAAAGUAAAACAAUAUAGUGUAGUGAAGUUUGAUUUUAAGAGUAAAUGUUAUUUUGUGACAGUUAAUAGCAAUUGAUUUUUUACAUAAGAACUUCGUACUUAUUAAUAUCAUAAUAGGCAAAUAGGGUUUCGAAGCUACAAAGACACGUUUAAAUUAAACUGAAAUGUUAAAAAUUAAAA